rnacentral:rRNA from 1 species
GAUGAACGCUAGCGGCAGGCUUAACACAUGCAAGUCGAGGGGUAUGCCGAUUUAUCGGCAGAGACCGGCGCACGGGUGCGUAACGCGUAUGCAAUCUACCUUUUACAGAGGGAUAGCCCAGAGAAAUUUGGAUUAAUACCUCAUAGUAUAGUGACUCGGCAUCGAGAUACUAUUAAAGUCACAACGGUAAAGGAUGAGCAUGCGUCCCAUUAGCUAGUUGGUAAGGUAACGGCUUACCAAGGCUACGAUGGGUAGGGGUCCUGAGAGAGAGAUCCCCCACACUGGUACUGAGACACGGACCAGACUCCUACGGGAGGCAGCAGUGAGGAAUAUUGGACAAUGGGCGCAAGCCUGAUCCAGCCAUGCCGCGUGCAGGAUGACGGUCCUAUGGAUUGUAAACUGCUUUUGUACGAGAAGAAACACCCCUCCGUGAAGGGACUUGACGGUAUCGUAAGAAUAAGGAUCGGCUAACUCCGUGCCAGCAGCCGCAGUAAAAC